CCCGUGCGCCAUGCCUUGAGCUUGGCCACGCUACAUAAAGAGACUGGCAGGAGAGGAGUGCUGUGUGCAUCCCUCCUGCUAGUCACCCGGACAUUUGAGCCCCCCAGACGCUUUAUGGUAGCGCCGGCCCUGUCUCUAUCCAUUCCUCUCUAAGUUAUGCAGGUCUGUCAUCAUUUACACAUGUCCAUGUACCUUUUCUUAUUAGCAGAAUCUACAUCUUAAAUAUCCGGUUCUGGUUUGUCAGAUUUGCAAAUGAAAGUUUUGUUGAAGCUGUGUUACUUGGCAUUUUUAUGUUUGACCUGUUGCAGUAUUUAUCUGUUGUUGUAUCUGGCAUUUAUUUACUGUAGCAGGCCUUAACUGGGCCUAUAAUCUGUUGGAUAUUCUGAAAAACUCUGCAGAAAUAAAGCGUGUACAGUCUUAUCUCCUCAAAAACAUGGUUGCAG